rnacentral:lncRNA from 1 species
UUAUUUAAAAUAGAAAUUAUCUAAAUUAUUUUAAAUUUUAUUUUAAGAUCUUAAAUAAAAACUAAUAAAUAAUAAAUAAAACUACAAUCUUUAAAAUAAAAUGAAGACAUUAAAAGACAACAAUUGAAGGAAGGUUAAAAUAGGAAGUAAAUAAAAAUAUAUAUUAAAAUUUAAAAAUUAGGUGAGAAAGAACCUUCUCUACUGUAGCAUAAACCCCUAGUCAAAAUAUAAGGGUCCAGUGAGAUCAGAGUGCUCCAAUCGUUCUGAUGCUAUGUAAUCCAAAGGCGGAAAAAUGGUGCGUUUAGGCCAAAAUCUCACCGCACUAGGUGCCACUGGUGAUCCAAAGGGACCCUACGCUUGUAACAGGCCUCCACCACGUGCGAGUGAGCAAAGCAGGAUUCAAGCCACUCCUCGAAGGAAUCUAACACACUUAGAUAAAAGGCUGCUAGCAAAUAAAGUGAACACGUCACUUUGAACCGUUGAGCCCCUUUCCAUAACCUUGCUCCAGUGGCGAUGGACACAAUAUAACAAACCCAAGAAUAACAUAUGUACAGUUGCUAGAAAAUAAAAACAGUCAAAACAAGCCAUGGAGGAGUCGAGAAAUAAGACGGUGGGGAAGGACGAAAGAAACGGAAGGAGGUAGAGAAGAGAAAGGUGGGUGUCAGUACUCGAGAGCACUGGCCAGUGAGGGAGGGUGAUCCCACCAACGCAUGACCCACUGACAAGGGGAGAAAGAGAAACAACGGGGAAAGAAACUAAACGAAAAAAAAAAGAGAUAACAAAAGGAAGGAUAGGAGGGAGGAGGAAAGAAUGAGAGAAAAGGGAGGGAGGGAGAAAAGAAGGGGACUGACAACCAACCAAAAGGCUACCUCCGGCAACAGCAAUCGACAAAAAACACUAACCUCGAACUUCCAAAAUGAGAGAGAAAAGCAAAGGGACUUCUAGAAAGUUAUUUUUGGUUUCUA